GAUGAACGCUAGCGGCAGGCUUAAUGCAUGCAAGUCGAGGGACAGCACAGGUAGCAAUACUGGGUGGUAACCGGCAAACGGGUGCGGAACACGUACACAACCUUCCUUUAAGUGGGGGAUAGCCCAGAGAAAUUUGGAUUAAUACCCCGUAAUAUAGUUGAAUGGCAUCAUUUGAUUAUUAUAGCUACGGCGCUUAAUGAUGGGUGUGCGGCUGAUAGAUAGUUGGCGGGGUAACGGCCCACCAAGUCUACGAUCAGUAGCUGAUGUGAGAGCAUGAUCAGCCACACGGGCACUGAGACACGGGCCCGACUCCUACGGGAGGCAGCAGUAAGGAAUAUUGGUCAAUGGACGCAAGUCUGAACCAGCCAUGCCGCGUGAAGGAUUAAGGUCCUCUGGAUUGUAAACUUCUUUUAUUUGGGACGAAAAAGGGCCUUUCUAGGUCAACUGACGGUACCAGAUGAAUAAGCACCGGCUAACUCCGUGCCAGCCGCCGCCGUAAUAC
rnacentral:rRNA from 1 species